rnacentral:rRNA from 1 species
AACGUAGGACGCGAGCGUUAUCCGGAAUCACUGGGCGUAAAGCGACCGCAGGCGGUCUGACAAGUCGGAUGUGAAAGCCCUGGGCUCAACUCAGGAAUUGCAUUCGAAACGUGGCAGACUCGAGUACGGGAGAGGGGGGUGGAAGUUCCUGGUGUAGGGGUGGAAAUUCGGUUGAUAUCAGGAGGAACACCCGUAGCGAAGGCGGCACUCUGGGCCGGUACGUGACGGCUGAGGAGCGAAAGCGUGGGG